AAAGCAUUCUCUGGUGUUGAAGGCCCUGCAAAGCAGCAUCGCGGUGGCGGAGCGUCGUUUGCGACGCCCAACACACAAAACAAGCGGUGAGUGCUUUGGGGUGGGGUGACUGCGUACCUUUUGUAUAAUGGGUCAGCGACUUAUAUUCUGUAGCAAGGUUAACCGAAUAGGGGAGCCGCAGGGAAACCGAGUCUUAAUUGGGCGUUAAGUUGCAGGGUAUAGACCCGAAACCCGGUGAUCUAGCCAUGGGCAGGUUGAAGGUUGGGUAACACUAACUGGAGGACCGAACCGACUAAUGUUGAAAAAUUAGCGGAUGACCUGUGGCUGGGGGUGAAAGGCCAAUCAAACCGGGAGAUAGCUGGUUCUCCCCGAAAGCUAUUUAGGUAGCGCCUCGUGAAUUCAUCUCCGGGGGUAGAGCACUGUUUCGGCUAGGGGGCCAUCCCGGCUUACCAACCCGAUGCAAACUGCGAAUACCGGAGAAUGUUAUCACGGGAGACACACGGCGGGUGCUAACGUCCGUCGUGAAGAGGGAAACAACCCAGACCGCCAGCUAAGGUCCCAAAGUCAUGGUUAAGUGGGAAACGAUGUGGGAAGGCCCAGACAGCCAGGAUGUUGGCUUAGAAGCAGCCAUCAUUUAAAGAAAGCGUAAUAGCUCACUGGUCGAGUCGGCCUGCGCGGAAGAUGUAACGGGGCUAAACCAUGCACCGAAGCUGCGGCAGCGAACGUAUCACUUAAAGCGAUUCAGCGGGUUACGAUUGACGGAGCGAAGCGACGUCAAAGCGUAUACAAAGUCGAGUCGGUUUAAGGAUACGUUCGUUGGGUAGGGGAGCGUUCUGUAAGCCUGUGAAGGUGUGUCGUGAGGC
rnacentral:rRNA from 2 species